AGAGUUUGAUCAUGGCUCAGAACGAACGCUGGCGGCGUGCCUAACACAUGCAAGCCGAACGAGAAAUCAUCUUCUUUGAAGAUGAGAGUAAAGUGGCGCACGGGUGAGUAACGCGUGGGUAACCUGCCCCUGAAUCUGGGAUAAUCCGCCGAAAGGCGGCCUAAUACCGGAUAAUAUCUCUUGUUGCUAGGGCAAGAGAUCAAAGCCAGUCUCUCUAUAAGAAGCUGGUGUUCAGGGAUGGGCCCGCGUCCUAUCAGCUAGUUGGUGAGGUAAGGGCUCACCAAGGCAAUGACGGGUAGCUGGUCUGAGAGGAUGGUCAGCCACACUGGAACUGAGGCACGGUCCAGACUCCUACGGGAGGCAGCAGUGAGGAAUAUUGCGCAAUGGGGGAAACCCUGACGCAGCGACGCCGCGUGGGUGAGGAAGGCCUUCGGGUUGUAAAGCCCUGUCAGGUGGGAAGAACCUCUUGGUGUUGAACAGGCAUCAAGACUGACGGUACCACCAGAGGAAGCACCGGCUAACUCCGUGCCAGCAGCCGCGGUAAUACGGAGGGUGCGAGCGUUGUUCGGAAUUAUUGGGCGUAAAGAGCGUGUAGGCGGUAGAGCAAGUCAGGUGUGAAAGUCCUGGGCUCAACCCAGGAAGUGCACUUGAUACUGCUUUACCUGAGUACCGGAGAGGAAGGGGGAAUUCCCGGUGUAGGGGGUGAAAUCCGUAGAUAUCGGGAGGAAUACCGGUGGCGAAGGCGCCCUUCUGGACGGAUACUGACGCUGAGACGCGAAAGCGUGGGGAGCAAACAGGAUUAGA
rnacentral:rRNA from 1 species